rnacentral:rRNA from 1 species
UACGUAGGGGGCGAGCGUUGUCCGGAUUUAUUGGGCGUAAAGAGCUCGUAGGCGGUUCGGUAAGUCGGAUGUGAAAUCUCUACGCUCAACGUAGAGGGGCCAUUCGAUACUGCCGUGACUCGAGUCCGGUAGGGGAGUGUGGAAUUCCCGGUGUAGCGGUGAAAUGCGCAGAGAUCGGGAGGAACACCCGUAGCGAAGGCGGCACUCUGGGCCGGUACUGACGCUGAGGAGCGAAAGCGUGGGGAGCAAACAGG